GUCCAUGCCGUAAACGAUGAGGACUAGGUGUUGGCCCGCAAGGGUCAGUGCCGCAGCUCACGCAUUAAGUCCUCCACCUGGGGAGUACGGCCGCAAGGUUGAAACUCAAAGGAAUUGACGGGGGCCCGCACAAGCGGUGGAACAUGUGGUUCAAUUCGACGCUACGCGAAGAACCUCACCCAGGCUUGACAUGCCUUGGAGUAGUGCCCCCUGAAAGGGGGCACGACCGUAUCCAAUCGGUACUUGGCACAGGUGUUGCAUGGCUGUCGU
rnacentral:rRNA from 1 species